GAGGGUGUAGCUCAGUGGUAGAGCACAUGCUUAGCAUGCAUGAGGUCCUGGGUUCAAUCCCCAGUGCCUCCA
rfam:Camelus ferus unplaced genomic scaffold scaffold880, whole genome shotgun sequence.